UCCUCAUCUCGUAACUCCACGCGCACGAAGGAGCGAGAGGGCAGGUGCCUCCGAAAGCCCUUGCCGUUCAAAACCUUGCACGAGGGAUCAACAAUUAGGUUUUUGGGGAGCGUCUACGCGACUGCCCAAUUCACCGCUGCUGUUCGUCUUCCUCAAGCUGGUUCGGGCGGAUUUCUCCUUCCGAGUGGAAAGAUCGUCUUCAUCCUCUACAUCAUGGAAGUUGGUCAAGGAUCGGGAUCAUCGUAGCGCAUGGGAGGGCGCGCGUUCACGCCGCCACUAGCACCGCCGGUCGCGCUCACGUGUGGCCAGCCCGAUCGGAGGAUGCCGUGGGCGCGUUCGACAACGGUGGCGUCGCGUGCAGGGUGGCCGCCAUAUACAGGAGCUCCUUCUCCUUUGCGCCUGGAAAAACAAGUGACGAACGUCUACUGUGGCUUCAUUGCCUGCGAUGAUGCCGUGCAGCGCAAAUUUGCCGCUGCCGCCACCGCCAUUAUCCUCGUCGUCGACACCAUCGUGCUGGUGAAGAUUAAUAACCUUUCAGUUUUCAACAUGAUCAAAGCACCGUCUACCAACAAAGCACGGAUGUUCUAUCUUUUUGUCAAGGAGCAGCACAGGAGGGAUGUGUCCUCAUUUGUAGUUUUGAUUCAGAUUGUGUUGCUCUCUUUCUAGGGUUUGUGAGUUGGCUAGAUUUGGAAAAGUCGAAGAAAACAUAACGGUUAACCAAGAACACUUGUGGCAUAUAUGAUACUAUAUAUGGCCAAUUCUUUUAGAGUUAGCUUUGAGGAUUUACCUAAAUUAAGUGAAGUUGAUGCUAUUUUUUUUUAAAAAAAUAUAGUCAAAUGAUGCUUGCUUUUUUUCAAAUACGUAGGAUAACUGAUUCUAUAUGGUUUGCUCUCGUUUUCUUAAUUUCCAUGUGGACUUCGGGCUUGCAAGAUAGUAGCUGGACAGCAAUACCGGAAGAAGUUGGAUGGCCACCAGGUCUCUAAACUGAUGGACUCAACAUGCCAGCGUCCAUCUGUCUGUGAGGACAACAUUCGUCAGGUGCUUGCUAUUUCUCCAUAAUUUUUCUGUUUUAUUUGAUCUAAAUUGUGGGCAAAUACAAAUAAUUUGCAACAAAUGUCUGUAUAUAAUUAAUUAAAUGGUGAACUCUAAAGUGUAAUUCAAAAUUGGACCAGCAACUGCAUUUUUUUCUAUAGGUCGGUGGAUGACUCGACAAAGAAAGCAACAAGUUGAUUUUGAUGCGCGGAACAUUUUUUGACUGCGCAAGGUGUCUAAUUUCUGGGGAAAGAUAAAUCAUGACAGAAAGUACUGUUGACUGAUUUUUUAUGAGAGAAAAAUAUUACUGAAUGACUACCAGAUUUGGUUGGAGUCUGAUGGAGGGGAAAACAAGGGUUUUAAACAUGGGACCAAUUGCCAACAAGUAAACGAGCUAAGGCCAGUCUCAAUGGAGAGUUUCAUAUCAUUGUUUUCAAGGUUGCCAUGUCAUGUGAAAUGAAAUAAAACUUGGAUGAAACACCCACUCUCAAUAGAGAGUUCCAUUC